GGGCUCCGAGCUCUAGAUACGCGAAGACCUUACCAGGGUUUAAAUGCAGAGUGACGUACUGGGAAACCGGUAUUUCUUCGGACACUUUGCAAGGUGCUGCAUGGUUGUCGUCAGCUCGUGCCGUGAGGUGUCAGGUUAAGUCCUAUAACGAGCGCAACCCCUGUUGUUAGUUGCCAGCAAGUAAAGUUGGGUACUCUAGCGAGACUGCCGGUGCAAACCGUGAGGAAGGUGGGGACGACGUCAAAUCAUCAUGCCCCUUAUGUCUUGGGCUUCACGCAUGCUACAAUGGCCGGUACAGAGGGCUGCAAUACCGUAAGGUGGAGCGAAUCCCAAAAAGCCGGUCUCAGUUCGGAUUGAGGUCUGCAACUCGACCUCAUGAAGUCGGAGUCGCUAGUAAUCGUAGAUCAGCAACGCUACGGUGAAUACGUUCCCGGGUCUUGUA
rnacentral:rRNA from 1 species